rnacentral:rRNA from 1 species
AGUGAACGCUGGCGGUAGGCCUAACACAUGCAAGUCGAACGGCAGCACAGUAAGAGCUUGCUCUUACGGGUGGCGAGUGGCGGACGGGUGAGGAAUACAUCGGAAUCUACUUUUUCGUGGGGGAUAACGUAGGGAAACUUACGCUAAUACCGCAUACGACCUACGGGUGAAAGCAGGGGAUCUUCGGACCUUGCGCGAUUGAAUGAGCCGAUGUCGGAUUAGCUAGUUGGCGGGGUAAAGGCCCACCAAGGCGACGGUCCGUAGCUGGUCUGAGAGGAUGAUCAACCACACUGGAACUGAGACACGGUCCAGACUCCUACGGGAGGCAGCAGUGGGGAAUAUUGGACAAUGGGCGCAAGCCUGAUCCAGCCAUACCGCGUGGGUGAAGAAGGCCUUCGGGUUGUAAAGCCCUUUUGUUGGGAAAGAAAAGCAGCAGGUUAAUACCCCGCUGUUCUGACGGUACCCAAAGAAUAAGCACCGGCUAACUUCGUG